GUGAGACAGUAAGACCUUGCUGUCUAUAAAUUCGACUAAAUGCUGGAAAGUCUGGCCGAUCUCUUCCAGGAGAUGAGAUCGAAGUAUCUGGCGAUACCAAAUACAUGUCAUUCCCGCAAAAGCGGGAAUCCAGCCUGGAUCCCCGAUCAGGUCGGGGAUGACAUCAAAAAAUGGUAACAAUUCGUCCAGCGCAGAUAAUCAGCAGGAAAGUCCUUCGUGAAAUUGAAGGAAUCCUCAGAGACUAUACGUCGAACUCCGAGUAAUCGGAUGAAGAUAUAGUCCGAACUGCCCCGCAA
rfam:Candidatus Thrbacteria bacterium RIFCSPHIGHO2_12_FTLL_57_11 rifcsphigho2_12_scaffold_20321, whole genome shotgun sequence.